GCAAUACCAUUCAGGACAUAAGCAUGGGCAAAGACUUCAUGACUAAAACACCAAAAGCAAUGGCAGCAAAAGCCAAAAUUGACAAAAGGUUUCCUUAACGACAACAAAAAAGGGAGUAAUCCUACCUACUGUAAGAGUCAUGACUCUUGAUUGCAGCUGACAGAAGCUCAUGACAGCCUGGUUUAGAUAAAAGGGGAAAGGACGACUGGAAGAAUCUUGGAGUUGGGAAUAUGGCACAUAAUUGAAGGAAGAGCAAUAAAACUAUAAUUCUUCCCGUGGAGACUGGAGUUUCCAGGAUGUGAAAAUUACCUCUGCUUGGGUGAGCUAUUCCAAGCAGCUGGGAUACCUGUGUCACUCCUGCUGUCUGCCAGUGACUGCCCAGGUGUCCGCUGGUUCCUCCCCAGGAGUAGGGAGGAACCAGGUGGGCUGGCUGGGAUGGGUGGAUAUUUAAAGACCAGGCCUUGGACGCUGCAGCACUUGUAUCUCUGCUUGAGGCCUGCUGCCAUGUGGCUGGUCCUCCUCCUCCUGCCGUGACUGAGCCCCGGGAUGAAGACAGGCAGCUGCUCCCAACCCCAGCAACUUUGCUAUCUUAGAACGGAUCACCAGUGAAAGAGGGGAAGUUGCUACUGUGAUGAAUUCUGCCAUGUGGUACCAGACUGCUGCCCAGACCACAGUGUCCUCUGCAACCCUGGUCAAAGGUGCCUACAUGUUCCUUCUAGCUUUGUUUCCCUGAUGUUCCUUGCCACCUGCUACUCCUCUCUGAGCUACUUUUCCAGCUUCUCAGAUGACCAAGAUGGUGCUGCCGAUGGUGUUGAGGACGGAGAACCCACCAAGCCCCG
rnacentral:lncRNA from 1 species